rnacentral:rRNA from 1 species
UUGAACGCUGGCGGCAGGCCUAACACAUGCAAGUCGAGCGGAUGACAGGAGCUUGCUCCUGGAUUCAGCGGCGGACGGGUGAGUAAUGCCUAGGAAUCUGCCUGGUAGUGGGGGACAACGUUUCGAAAGGAACGCUAAUACCGCAUACGUCCUACGGGAGAAAGCAGGGGACCUUCGGGCCUUGCGCUAUCAGAUGAGCCUAGGUCGGAUUAGCUAGUUGGUGAGGUAAUGGCUCACCAAGGCGACGAUCCGUAACUGGUCUGAGAGGAUGAUCAGUCACACUGGAACUGAGACACGGUCCAGACUCCUACGGGAGGCAGCAGUGGGGAAUAUUGGACAAUGGGCGAAAGCCUGAUCCAGCCAUGCCGCGUGUGUGAAGAAGGUCUUCGGAUUGUAAAGCACUUUAAGUUGGGAGGAAGGGCAGUAACUUAAUACGUUGCUGU